rnacentral:snRNA from 1 species
AGAGCUCAUAUUCUAUGG